rnacentral:siRNA from 1 species
GGCGGUAACCCUUCUGAGCUAGACAGAGAGGGUCGCAGCGAGGUGUAAGUGCCUAAGGUGUGAUGAGUGCUUUAGCACAAUCUCGCACCUUAGGUCAACCACGUACACCUGAGACAAGGUCCAUCUGUCGCGACACAAGGGCCCUCCGCAUGGCCGGUAGCCCUUGUUGUUUUGUCUAUCACUCCUGAGCUA